rnacentral:lncRNA from 10 species
GCGAUCACAGGUGUGGCUGAAUGAGGCCUGAAUGAAUGAUUGUCUGCAGCCCUUUUCAGGCAGGGCUGACUCCCUGUGCUGGGACCUGGGGCUGCUCCGGACAUUGAUUUCAUAACCUUCAUGGCCUCUGGUCCCUUGUGGAGGCAGCAUGAGAUUUGAAAAUGGAGGGAGUCCUCUAAGUCAGAAAUGUCCAAUAGGAAUAAAAUUGAGCCGCAUGUGUCAUUUACAGUAGCCUAGUGGCAUCAUGAAAGGAAAACAGCACAUCUCAGUUCCAACCAGCUCUAUCCAAAGAGCUCAGCAGCCCCACGUGGGCAGUGGCUUCCGCAUUGAAGAGCAGAUCUGAGGGCACUUGCGCGUCUAACCUCAGGGAAAUCGAGGGCCUGGACCCCCUUUCCUGCCAGACGAGAGCGAACACCCUCAUCCUGCCCAUCUCUUUCCUCAUGCCCAAGGGUGGGAGAGGCAGUGCCCAGUGAGAGAGCCAGGGCUGCAGUCAGGAGGUGUCCACAGGUCGACCACUGCUGCCCACCUGCUUCUGGGC